UCUUUAUUUUAUUUUUGUUUGGACCUUUACGUGGAAUCCAAUACCAUAUCACCGUUCGAUCUUAUGGUCAUAUCUUCUACACCGUUCGAUCAUCUUAUCAACAUGCGUCUCUCUUCACCAUUCUCAAUGGUCAAACGAUAUGAACCGUGGACUGGGUGCCUAAGGUUUGGACCGCUUUUAAUAAUCUGUCUCAAUAUGCUGAGCUGUGUGGUGCGGGUCACUAUCAAGUAUAUGCAUUUUAAUGGUCAUGAUCGAAUA
rnacentral:lncRNA from 1 species